rnacentral:rRNA from 1 species
AUUGAACGCUGGCGGCAGGCCUAACACAUGCAAGUCGAAUGGUAACAGGAAACAGCUUGCUGUUUCGCUGACGAGUGGCGGACGGGUGAGUAAUGUCUGGGAAACUGCCUGAUGGAGGGGGAUAACUACUGGAAACGGUAGCUAAUACCGCAUAACGUCGCAAGACCAAAGAGGGGGACCUUCGGGCCUCUUGCCAUCAGAUGUGCCCGGAUGGGAUUAGCUAGUAGGUGGGGUAACGGCUCACCUAGGCGACGAUCCCUAGCUGGUCUGAGAGGAGGACCAGCCAAACUGGAAGUGAGACACGGUCCAGACUCCUAAGGGAGGCAGCAGUGGGGAAUAUUGCACAAUGGGCGCAAGCCUGAUGCAGCCAUGCCGCGUGUAUGAAGAAGGCCUUCGGGUUGUAAAGUACUUUCAGCGGGGAGGAAGGGAGUAAAGUUAAUACCUUUGCUCAUUGACGUUACCCGCAGAAGAAGCACCGGCUAACUCCGUG